rnacentral:tRNA from 1 species
UACCUAAAAUAAUUUUAUUAUAACUUUGAUAUCACAAAUCAAUAUUUUUAUUAAACUAUUUAAGU